UACAGAGGUCCCAAGCGUUGUUCGGAUUCACUGGGCGUAGAGGGUGCGUAGGCGGUCGGGUAAGUCUGACGUGAAAUCUUCAAGCUCAACUUGGAAACUGCGUCCGAUACUAUUCGGCUAGAGGAAUGGAGGGGAGACUGGAAUACUUGGUGUAGCAGUGAAAUGCGUAGAUAUCAAGUGGAACACCAGUGGCGAAGGCGAGUCUCUGGACAUUUCCUGACGCUGAGGCACGAAAGCCAGGGGAGCAAACGGG
rnacentral:rRNA from 1 species